rnacentral:rRNA from 1 species
AUGGUGGAUAGUUUCAGAAGAGACUUUAUCACUACCUGGUCUUCCCACUGUCCACCAGUCCACCUUCGUAGUAAUCUGCAUUGGGCAACGGACCUCAACAUAUUGGUAUUUGACACCGUAGCUGAGACAUUCUGGCAGAUAGCUGCCCAGGACAGUUUGGCGAUCUGCGGUCAUUGUUGGAUAUGGGCUGUGCCCUUCCUUUGUGCCGUGCCAUCCUUAACUGUGGGGUCAUUGUUGGAUAUGGACUAUGAUGUCGAGACAUGGGGCUUUCAAUACCGGAUUACCUUGUUAGAGAUGGAGACAUCACUACUGAUUAAUUCGGGGAUGGGAUUUUACCCUACGGUGGCUAUGAUUAACGAGCAUGAGCUGUUGAUUGAGAAGCAUCUUCGUCUGUUGCAUUGUGACAUUGAUGGUGUGUUUAUAGGAAAUUUGGGAUUUGAAGAGUAUGGGUACAGCUUGACUCUUACUGGAUAUCGCCUCCAAGAGAGCCUGUCUUCACAUCCAAUGUUUCAGACACGAGAAGAAGUUGUAUCUCCAUACCCCAUGGUGGUAUAA